rnacentral:rRNA from 1 species
UACAGAGGUCCCGAGCGUUGUUCGGAUUCACUGGGCGUAAAGGGCGCGUAGGUGGUGAGGUAAGUCGGAUGUGAAAGCUCCGAGCUCAACUCGGAAAUGGCAUUGGAAACUACCUUGCUAGAGGGUUUGAGGGGGGACUGGAAUACUUGGUGUAGCAGUGAAAUGCGUAGAUAUCAAGUGGAACACCAGUGGCGAAGGCGAGUCCCUGGAAAACUCCUGACACUGAGGCACGAAAGCUAGGGGAGCAAACAGG